GACGAACGCUGGCGGCGUGCUUAACACAUGCAAGUCGAACGGAAAGGCCCUGCUUUUGUGGGGUGCUCGAGUGGCGAACGGGUGAGUAACACGUGAGUAACCUGCCCUUGACUUUGGGAUAACUUCAGGAAACUGGGGCUAAUACCGGAUAGGAGCUCCUGCUGCAUGGUGGGGGUUGGAAAGUUUCGGCGGUUGGGGAUGGACUCGCGGCUUAUCAGCUUGUUGGUGGGGUAGUGGCUUACCAAGGCUUUGACGGGUAGCCGGCCUGAGAGGGUGACCGGCCACAUUGGGACUGGGCUACGGCCCAGACUCCUACGCGAGGCAGCAGUGGGGAAUAUUGCACAAUGGGCGGAAGCCUGAUGCAGCAACGCCGCGUGCGGGAUGACGGCCUUCGGGUUGUAAACCGCUUUCGCCUGUGACGAAGCGUGAGUGACGGUAAUGGGUAAAGAAGCACCGGCUAACUACGUG
rnacentral:rRNA from 1 species